rnacentral:rRNA from 1 species
GACGAACGCUGGCGGCGUGCUUAACACAUGCAAGUCGAACGGAAAGGCCCUGCUUUUGUGGGGUGCUCGAGUGGCGAACGGGUGAGUAACACGUGAGUAACAUGCCCUUGACUUUGGGAUAACUUCAGGAAACUGGGGCUAAUACCGGAUAGGAGCUCCUGCUGCAUGGUGGGGGUUGGAAAGUUUCGGCGGUUGGGGAUGGACUCGCGGCUUAUCAGCUUGUUGGUGGGGUAGUGGCUUACCAAGGCUUUGACGGGUAGCCGGCCUGAGAGGGUGACCGGCCACAUUGGGACUGAGAUACGGCCCAGACUCCUACGGGAGGCAGCAGUGGGGAAUAUUGCACAAUGGGCGGAAGCCUGAUGCAACAACGCCGCGUGCGGGAUGACGGCCUUCGGGUUGUAAACCGCUUUCGCCUGUGACGAAGCGUGAGUGACGGUAAUGGGUAAAGAAGCACCGGCUAACUACGU